GCACAAGCGGUGGAGCAUGUUGGUUUAAUUCGACGCAACGCGAAGAACCUUACCAGGGCUUGACAUCCCUGACCGCGUAUGAAAGUACGUUUUCACCCUCGGGUGACAGGGAGACAGGUGGUGCAUGGUUGUCGUCAGCUCGUGUCGUGAGAUGUUGGGUUAAGUCCCGCAACGAGCGCAACCCUUGUCCUUAGUUGCCACCAUUCAGUUGGGCACUCUAAGGAGACUGCCGGUGUUAAACCGGAGGAAGGUGGGGAUGACGUCAAGUCCUCAUGGCCCUUAUAUCCAGGGCUACACACGUGCUACAAUGGCCGGUACAAAGGGUCGCAAGACCGCGAGGUGGAGCCAACCCCAAAAAGCCGGUCUCAGUUCGGAUUGGAGUCUGCAACUCGACUCCAUGAAGUUGGAAUCGCUAGUAAUCGUGGAUCAGCAUGCCACGGUGAAUACGUUCCCGGGCCUU
rnacentral:rRNA from 1 species